CGUAGGGUGCGAGCGUUAAUCGGAAUUACUGGGCGUAAAGCGUGCGCAGGCGGUUUUGUAAGACAGAUGUGAAAUCCCCGGGCUCAACCUGGGACCUGCAUUUGUGACUGCAAGGCUAGAGUACGGUAGAGGGGGAUGGAAUUCCGCGUGUAGCAGUGAAAUGCGUAGAUAUGCGGAGGAACACCGAUGGCGAAGGCGGGAUCCUGGGCCAGUACUGACGCUGAGGAGCGAAAGCGUGGGGAGCAAACAGGAUUAGAUACCCUGGUAGUCCACGCCGUAAACGAUGGGCGCUAGGUGUGGGAGGUCAUCGACUCCUUCCGUGCCGCAGCUAACGCAUUAAGCGCCCCGCCUGGGGAGUACGGCCGCAAGGCUA
rnacentral:rRNA from 1 species